AUUCUUCCCUAUUUAGCCUCACCCCAAGUCCCUCUAUUUAUGAAACCAAUCUCCUCUCUGUUCCUUACUUCUUUGAUACCUCCUAUUCAAGCCCCCUCCUCUCUAAACAACAAACAGUUAUCUUUCUUUCUCAUCUUUACUGUGAAAAUCUGCAAAGCCUACCUUAUUCUUCCUCACUGCUAUGUUUUCCCAUGUUCUUGCAUCCACAGCUGACAUGACCAAACAAAUUACCAUCAUAACAUUUCACAUGUCAGGGAUAACUGGAUGUGAAACACUCCUGUGGAUUCUCAUUGCUGACUUUAUGUGGUACUGUAUGAUCAACUUGCUUCUUUUUGGACUAAGCCACUCAGCUGCUCGUUUGCUUCUUCAACUGCAUCAGUCAGCUGCUGCUCGUGUUACACGUUCACACCUUGAUCAGAUACCAAAUAUGGAACUGCAACCACUGCAAGCUCAGCCAGGUUUGGGCAGAAUAGCAGAGCAAGUAUAUUAGCAUAGCAAAAAUGCAUUCCUCGUCAUUAAUAUGUUUGCUAGUGGUAAGUGUGGCUUCUCGGGAGAAUUGAUGAAUGCAUCAAAGAUGCACUUGCUAUUGCUAGUACCAGUACAUCUAAUAAUUCUUAAUUGUUUGGUUUAAAUAGCUCCGGACUGUGGAAAAAGGAGUAUCCCGAACCUACACACCGAGGUAUUGACGGCUAUUCUCAAAUAUCGCAGAACAGAACAGAAUGGGAUAAGAUGAGAUAGAAUGCAAUAGAAACAAAGACAAGGGGAAAAUGAGUUAUCUACUCUUCUUAACGGUCAAAGCGAACCCUUUCAUUCAUUCCGAAUUACAGAUUUCGGAAUCAAUAAAAUCUCCCCAAGUAGGAUUUACGACAAGUCAGUUAACAGCUGACCGCUCUAGCCCCAGCGGGGAUGGAGCGAAAGAAGUUUUGAGAAUUCAAGAGAAGGUCACGGCGAGACGAACCAUUUCUAAUUAAUGAUAGGUGUCAAGUGGAAGUGUAGUGAUGUAUGCAGCUGAGGCAUCCUCCAGUAGACUUGAACCUUGUUCCUACAUGAUCCAAUCAAGUCGAUCAAGCACUAGUCAUCCAUUUUCAUUGUUCAACUCUUUGACAACAUGAAAAAACCAAAAACUCUGCCCCUCCUCUCUAUUUAUUCAAGGGAUGGAAGGGCAGAGGCCUUUGGUGUCCCCUCCAGUCGAGAAUUAGGGCCUCACAAUGAAUAGCCAAUAUAUUUGCUUUUAUCUCAUGCCUUUCUUCGGUUCAUGGUUCAAUAUUCUAGUGUCCUAGGCAUAGAGGAACCACACCAAUCCAUCCCGAACUUGGUGGUUAAACUCUAUUGCGGUCACGAUAUUUUAGGGGAGGUCCUGCAGAAAAAUAGCUCGGCGCUAGGAUGAUAAAAAGCUUAACACCUCUCAUUCUUAUUACUUUUUCAAUAUUAAAA